rnacentral:rRNA from 1 species
GUGAGGAAUAUUGGUCAAUGGGCGGGAGCCUGAACCAGCCAAGUCGCGUGAAGGAAGAAGGAUCUAUGGUUCGUAAACUUCUUUUGCAGGGGAAUAAAGUGCAGGACGUGUCCUGUUUUGUAUGUACCCUGAGAAUAAGGAUCGGCUAACUCCGUGCCAGCAGCCGCGGUAAUACGGAGGAUCCGAGCGUUAUCCGGAUUUAUUGGGUUUAAAGGGUGCGUAGGUGGUUUGAUAAGUCAGAGGUGAAAGUUUGCAGCUUAACUGUAAAAAUGCCGUUGAAACUGUCGGACUUGAGUGUAAAUGAGGUAGGCGGAAUGCGUGGUGUAGCGGUGAAAUGCAUAGAUAUCACGCAGAACUCCGAUUGCGAAGGCAGCUUACUAAGCUACAACUGACACUGAAGCACGAAAGCGUGGGGAUCAAACAGGAUUAGAAACCCUGGUAGUCC